rnacentral:rRNA from 1 species
UACAGAGGGUGCGAGCGUUGUUCGGAAUUACUGGGCGUAAAGGGCGCGUAGGCGGCCUUCUAAGUCAGACGUGAAAUCCCCCGGCUUAACCUGGGAACUGCGUCUGAUACUGGAGGGCUUGAGUGCGGGAGAGGGAUGUGGAAUUCCAGGUGUAGCGGUGAAAUGCGUAGAUAUCUGGAGGAACACCGGUGGCGAAGGCGGGUCUCUGGGCCGAUACUGACGCUGAGGAGCGAAAGCGUGGGGAGCGAACAGG